AAACAUCGCCUCUUGCCAAUAAAUGAAGUAUUAGAGGUCCCGCCUGCCCUGUGACCAAAGUGUUUAACGGCCGCGGUAUCCUGACCGUGCGAAGGUAGCGUAAUCAUUUGUCUUUUAAAUGAAGACCAGUAUGAAUGGCAUCACGAGGGUUUAACUGUCUCCUCCUCCCAGUCAAUGAAAUUGAUCUGCCCGUGCAGAAGCGGACAUAAAAACAUAAGACGAGAAGACCCUAUGGAGCUUUAGGCAAAAGUCACACAUGUACAGAAACCUGAAAUAAUUAAUAAAGAACAAAAGGCCCUACUAAACUAAAUGUAAAAUGACUUAAAUGCCUUCGGUUGGGGCGACCAUGGAGGAAAAUAAAGCCUCCACAUGGAAUGGGGGUCACCCCCCUAAACCAAGAAAGACAAUUCUAAGUAACAGAACAUCUGACCAAAAAUGACCCAGGACCCAAUCCUGAUCAAUGAACCAAGUUACCCUAGGGAUAACAGCGCAAUCCUUUCCCAGAGUCCAUAUCGACGAAAGGGUUUACGACCUCGAUGUUGGAUCAGGACAUCCUAAUAGUGCAGCCGCUAUUAAGGGUUCGUUUGUUCAACGAUUAAUAGUCCUACGUGAUC
rnacentral:rRNA from 1 species